UGGCAGUGGUAGCUUUGCUGUGUACAGAUGUCUCUAUUGUUAAACACGUAUUUGUUUUACAUUCUAGGAACACACAGGUAAGGUAAUAUCAACAUGAGAUAUGAUUUUGAUAUUCAAUGUCUUAUGUAUCUAAAAUCACCUUACUUACAUUGAUGAGGAGAAAACAAUACAGUCAUCCACUAGUCAAGAGAGUGAUGCUUGGACCUAAGAUUAAUGCCAGAUUUCAAACUUGUGCUUCACUCCACAAAGUUAUGUAGGACAACUUAAGAUCUCCAUGGGACAGCAGUCGCUAUCUGUUUAGCUAUCAAAAAUGAGAUGUCUAGAAAAAGUAUAAGAGGGAAAAAAGUGACCUCACAAAAAAAAAAUACACCCGUUACUUGAGAUCCGUAAGAUCUGUGUUUUAAUAACAGCUAAUUGAUCCUCAUAACAAGAAUUCGAGAGGUGAAAUUACAGUACACAAAUCGAAAUAUAAACUAAACUAUCCCUAGUUAUACAAUAUACAUUAAGAAUGCAAGCUCUGUAACAAUAUAAAAAUGCUUUUACACACAGUAGUUGCAAAAAGCUGUUCUGUUAAUUCCAGGGGCUUGUAGAAAAAAAAACAAAGUCUUCCAGCAUUCACCUUAAGUUAUUGGCAAUCUUAACUCUUGUUAGUAGUAGCAGGGGCUUUGUUCUCUCCUUCCAGUUCUUCUACUCCCGCUUGUGUCAUCAGGUCUGCUAUGUUUUUCUCCAGGUCAUCUAUGCGGCAGCUCAUGUCAUCAAUUCGUCCAAUUAUUUGGUCAGACAUGGUUUGAAAUUUGUCCUGCAUUUGCUGAAGCAACGUCUGCACCACGGCCGUGAGGUCCUGCACGGUUUUGGGGUCGGUCUCCGCCAUGGCCUCGGCAGCGGUUCUGUGCACCCCGGGCUCCACAGCAACGGCGCUUCCGGGCCGCGCCUCGAGACUUCCGGCUUAGAGCUCUCGCGAGAAGAGGAG
rnacentral:lncRNA from 1 species